GUCCCCGUAGCUCAGUCUGGACAGAGCACCGUCAGAGCACGUCUGACGAGCCCUCGUUCGAGUCUUCGACUCUCACGAGGACACUGGCCUUCGAAGCCAGGUGUCGCACGUUCGAAUCGUGCCGGGGACG
rnacentral:tRNA from 1 species